AACAAUUAUAAUAAUCCAUGCUUUUCACUCGUUGUCCACCAAAACAAAAGUCUCUCUCUCUCUAUUUCUACAUAUAUCUAUAUUGUGGUUGAGAUUUUGCCUGAUCAUAUAUCAUCGGAAGAGGUUGAAAAUAUGUAUUAUCUAACGCUGGUGGCUUAUUAUAUAUAUUUCAAUUCUUGCAAGGUUUUGUAUGCUGUUUGUCUGGUGGUGUUGGCUUCAUUUUACAUGUGCAUACUCUCACAAAGUAUGAGAGAUGCACAGAAACCUGCAGCUUGUUUCUGCAAGCAAGAGGUCAUCCGGAGGAACUUGGUGUAUCAUCAGCAAUUUGAAGACCAUUCUGGUACUCCACCGCCACCACCACCACCACCUUCUCUUCAUCACUCAUCAAAUCACUCUUAUAUAUUACAGGGUUUCAGUACUGUUGUCUGUUUAUGGCUACUGGGUGCAUGAUUUUGCUUAGUAUUUCUUGUUUGUUCUGAUUAUUAUUAUUAUUAUUAUUUACAACAAAAUAACAAUAAAACCUAUACUUUCACGUCUACAACCCUACCGAGUGCGUUAUGCCAGUUACGAACUCGCGUUCAUCAAACUUCAAAAACUGAAUUUUAACUAUGAAAUAAGAAUUAAAAAAAAUAAAAGAAAUUAACCAUCAUUUUCGGUAAUUAAAUUACACUUUGUGCUCGAGGCUUCCCUUAUUUUUAUAGAAAUGCUCCAAUACUACACAACGAGCAUGUUGCAAAGAUAAAGGCUAGUCAAGUAUCUGGCUCAGAAUGUUUUCUCAACACUUGGUUGAACUGAACCUGCAAAUUUUUUGCCAUGUAAAACAAAACAUAAAUCAACAUACUUGCAUAAUAAUUGACAAGAAGUAACGCUAAAUAAUAUUUCGGAGACGCUUAUCAUGAGCACCGAGAGAAUACAGCCUUCUAACACAGAUAAAAUGCUUUGAAAGAGCAACCUUUCAAAAGGAAAUGAAAAAGCGCUGUGCUCUAAGUAAUGAUAAAGAAGAUGUUGAGUGUUCCGAGAUCCCAUUCAGUUGAUUUACAGAAUUUAAUAGCACAAAUAAUAAUAACAAAAUAUAGAAGGUCGGCAGUUGCCUUCCAAAAGGGAUGACAAGCCAAUGUGUUCUAGAUGAUAACAUGUUAAAAAAAAAUUGCUUUCAGAAUUCCCUAUUCCCCAAAAAACUGCCAUAUACAUUCACCGCACAUCCACUCCAACAAACCCAUAUCAUCUAAGACAAAGAAGAGUUAGAUUUCAAACCUAAGCAGGGUUCUUGGUUGGUCACUUUGUGGAGUAUGUGGUGGGCCUUCCAAAUUAUCAAUUCCAUCUUGCACUAUGACAUCAGCUGUUGGCUCACGCAUGGUUUGAUAUAAAUUGUCUGCCAGCUCCUUAAGACCACUCAAACUUGCUUCAGCAUAUGUGAUAGAACGAGUUCUCCCAGAAGGUUUAAGUUGAUCCUGCAAAAUGUUGAACAUUUUAUUAGGUCAAUGUGUUAGGAAAGUAGACAAAUAUGGAACUAGACUAGGAUAAUAAAAAUAUGGUAAAAAUACACUGAGAAUCAGAAAAUAAGAGACUUGCAGCUAAAAAGGUGAUUCAAGAAAACAUCGGGGAAGCUUUGGAACCCACCAAAGAAAAGGAAGGACAUGGAGAAGAUAACUUCUAGAGGAGAAUAAGAAAGUAUCCUUGCUUAUUUGAAUCAUAAAAGGAGGGAGGAAGAAUGUUUUUUCAGCUUUUCACAAGGAGGAUCAAAUAAAAAAUUAUUAUCCUUUUCGCAACAUUCCCUCAACUUUUAGAAUGUUUUGAAUUUUGCAGACCUAGGAGGAAGAAAGCCUCCAUUUUCAUCUUAUACUUUCCAUCCAAGGUCCAACCACAAGUACUCCUAUCUUCCAUUUUCUUCUUACCGAAAAAAAAUCUAAAUUCAAAUAUCAACAAUUUUUUUAUUUUUAAAUGAAAGGCUUUAAAUGCUUUUCCAACCUCCAGAGCUUUAGGCAUUUUCAUUUUGUUACCGCCAACAAAAUUGCACAGGUACAACACACCCAUAUUUGCAAGAUCCUGCAACCAUACCAUUGCAUCAGUAUAUCCACAAGCACACAAACAGGAGAUCAAAUGAUAACAACUAAUGCAAUUCCAGGGCUUAAGACACUGGCGAUUGAUUCUAACAAUAAUCCACAGGAAACCAUUGCUACACCUACACCAAUAGUGUUAUA
rnacentral:misc_RNA from 1 species